rnacentral:rRNA from 1 species
GACGAACGCUGGCGGCGUGGAUUAGGCAUGCAAGUCGGACGGUAGGGCUUUAUCGUAAGAUAGAGUUUGAGAGUGGCGAACGGGUGAGUAACACGUAGGAAUCUACCCUUAAGACGGGGACAACCCAGGGAAACUUGGGCUAAUACCGGAUGAGAGUGCGAGAGAUUGCAUUUAAAAGGAUGGCGAAAGUUGUCGCUUAGGGAUGAGCCUGCGGUCUAUUAGUUAGUUGGUGAGGUAAGAGCUCACCAAGGCGAUGAUAGAUAGGCGGCCUUAACGGGUGGUCGCCCACACUGGGAUUGAGAUACGGCCCAGACUCCUACGGGAGGCAGCAGUGGGGAAUAUUGCGCAAUGGACGAAAGUCUGACGCAGCGACGCCGCGUGAGCGACGAAGGCCUUCGGGUCGUAAAGCUCUGUUCUUGGGGACGAAGUAUGACGGUACCCAAGGAGAAAGACCCCGGCUAACUACGUG